rnacentral:rRNA from 1 species
AUUGAACGCUGGCGGCAGGCCUAACACAUGCAAGUCGAGCGAGUGGCGGACGGGUGAGUAAUGUAUGGGGACCUGCCCGAUAGAGGGGGAUAACUACUGGAAACGGUGGCUAAUCCCGCAUACUAUCGGAUGUGCCCAGAUGGGAUUAGCUAGUGGGUGGGGUAAAGGCUCACCGAGGCGACGAUCUCUACCUGGUCUGAGAGGGUGAUCAGCGGAACUGGAACUGAGACACGGCCCAGACUCCUACGGGAGGCAGCAGGAGGGAAUAUUGCGCAAUGGGCGCAAGCCUGAUACAGCCAUGCCGCGUAUAUGAAGAAGGCCUUCGGGUUGUAAAGUACUUUCAGCGGGGAGGCGUUACCCGCAGAAGAAGCACCGGCUAACUACGUGCCAGCAGCCGCGGUAAUAC